rnacentral:ncRNA from 2 species
GUGCAACGUCCCGAGGGCGCUUCGCGUGCCCGGCAACCUGGUUUCGCCUCCAAGGUGCCAAGUACGACGUGGUGCGAUGAGCCGCAAGGCUUUCGCGCAACAAAAGGCGGGCAC